UGAGCAACCUACCGAAAUGUGGGGGAUAGCCGGCCUAACGGCCGAGUAAUACCGCAUACGCUCUCGAUGAGGCAUUUCAUUGAGAGGAAACCUACGGGACAUUUCGAGGGGCUCGCGGCCUAUCAGCUAGUUGGCGAGGUAACGGCUCACCAAGGCGACGACGGGUAGCUGGUCUGAGAGGAUGGCCAGCCACAUUGGGACUGAGACACGGCCCAGACUCCUACGGGAGCAG
rnacentral:rRNA from 1 species